rnacentral:lncRNA from 1 species
GAUAAUUUGCCAGCUUCAUCUACGAAUUCAUGAACCUCAGCCCUACUCCUCACAAUCCUAUGAAACACCUCCCUAACCAGUUGCUGCAACGGCACGAGCCCUUCUUUCAUCUUUCGACAGAUUUCGGCUAGCUCCUCAACCUCCAUUACUAUAUCAGCCGCCUUCUCCUCCUCCAACGAAUAUUGGAACGAGUCAGCAAAAUCGACUUGGGAUUGAGCCACCUUUUCCAUUUUUCG